rnacentral:lncRNA from 1 species
GUUGGAGUGGUAUUUUUGGUGAAAAAUGGUGAAAUUUGGUGGGAAAUGGUGGAAUGAUUUAUGGGUUGGAGUUGCCCUUAAGACAAAAAAUCUUAGAGCCUAUUUGAGAGUGUUUUUUUACCGUUAUUUCACUAUUUAAGUUGUCAUAUUUGACUUUUUCUCUUACAGGUGGACCCCACUUUUCUUCUAAUAGUCAAAAAAUCAAUUCUCAAAAUCAUUCCCAAACAAGCUCUUAGUAUUUUUUACUUUUUGUCAAAAUUUUAUUUUAAUUUUUCAAAAAAGACACCACUAGAUGGAUUAUUGCUUUAAUAUUUGCGAGAGAAUCUAUUUGAUUUGAUUUGUUUUUUUUAUUAUUAUUUCAUUCCAUUAUUAAGAUAUCGAUUUAAUAUUUCGUCAUUGACAUUACAAUUAACAUAACUGCAUGUACAUAUAAUUUGGAAAAGUACAUUGAACCGAUAAAAGGAACACCACAACUACGGGCAGCGUAGUUGCAGAGUAGAGAUAGACUUAGCGUAGCCACCAGGUACACCGGUCGUCCCUUGAUCUGGUGUCGCAGAAGUUUAUUUUUAUCACCUCCGCCAGCAGGUGGACGUCCGCGGCCCGUUGUCGUGGCUUUAGGAUAAUCCGGCAGAGUGGACAUGUUCUGUGUCCAUAUCCUACCCACCUAUCUAAGCAAACCCUGUGAUAAAGAUGGUGGCAUCUCAGCUCUCUAACCUCAUCCCCUUCAUCAAUUCUGCAUAGGCAAACAGCACACUCUACCGAUGAAUCCCCACACUCUGCAUUACUAUUAUUUUCAUAACUCAUUACGUUAAGGUCAUCAGCAUAGUCUGGUAAUUCGAUUCCACGAGGCUGAAAGAAGGAUUGGUGAAGAAGGAUAUCCCAUGCCCACUUCAGCUGGGAUGAAAUAAGAAUUAUGUAUUUCAAUACAACUGACUUCAUCCUAUGCGUAAAGAUAAUAGUUUCUUGGGACACUUCUGCUGUAGCUUGUUUUGAAAGGGAAGGGGUGAAGCGGGUGCAGUAUUGCUUCUCUAUGGCACCUGUGGGAUGUGCAUUUGGCCAUUUAGGUAUAUAUAG